GGUGGAAACAUAGCUCAGUUGGUAGAGUGCUUGCCUUGCAUGCACAAGGCCCUGGGUUCAAUCCUCAGCACCA
rnacentral:tRNA from 1 species